rnacentral:rRNA from 1 species
CAUCACUACGCUAGAUGCAUAUCAAUAAGCGGAGGAAAAGAAACUAACAAGGAUUCCCCUUAGUAGCGGCGAGUGAAGCGGGAAGAGCUCAAAUUUGAAAUCUUCAAGGGUUUACCUUUACGAAUUGUAGUUUAAAGAAGUGUUUUCUGUUGGAGUUUCGGUAAAAGUUCUUUGGAAUAGGACAUCAUAGAGGGUGAGAAUCCCGUAUUUGACCAUUAUUUUCAGCUGUGUGAUACACUUUCAAAGAGUCGGAUUGUUUGGGAAUGCAGUCCAAAAUGGGUGGUAAAUUUCAUCUAAAGCUAAAUAUUGGCGAGAGACCGAUAGCGAACAAGUACCAUGAGGGAAAGAUGAAAAGAACUUUGAAAAGAGAGUUAAACAGUACGUGAAAUUGUCAAAAGGGAAGCGUUUGACACCAGUGUUGUUUUCUCGAAAAUCAAUUAAAAAAGGCGGAUUUUGUGUUGUAUUGACCUUAAAAGCUUUCUUCACUCUUUUCUUGUCUUUUUUAAUGCACUUUUCGUUUAACAAGUCAACAUCAGUUUCUUUUGUUGUAAAAGGGUCAUUGGAAGGUGGCUUUCACUUCGGUGAAAGUGUUUAUAGCCUUUGGCUUCUACAGUCGGAGAGAUUGAGGUCUGCAGCGUAGAUCCUUCGGGGUUAGAUACGUAGAUGCUAAGUUAUAGUUUUUUAUAGACAACUUGUUGACUAUGAUUAAUCAUGUAGCUUACUCGUUUACGCUAUUUUACCUACGCUUAGGAGUUGACACACGCGCGUGCUCG